rnacentral:rRNA from 1 species
AGCGAACGCUGGCGGCAGGCUUAACACAUGCAAGUCGAGCGGGCAUCCUUGUGGUGUCAGCGGCAGACGGGUGAGUAACGCGUGGGAACGUGCCCUUCGGUUCGGAAUAACUCAGGGAAACUUGAGCUAAUACCGGAUACGUGCGAGAGCAGAAAGGUUUAUCUGCCGAAGGAUCGGCCCGCGUCUGAUUAGCUAGUUGGUGAGGUUACGGCUCACCAAGGCGACGAUCAGUAGCUGGUCUGAGAGGAUGAUCAGCCACACUGGGACUGAGACACGGCCCAGACUCCUACGGGAGGCAGCAGGGGGGAAUAUUGGACAAUGGGGGCAACCCUGAUCCAGCCAUGCCGCGUGAGUGAUGACGGCCUUAGGGUUGUAAAGCUCUUUUCUCCGGGACGAUAAUGACGGUACCGGAGGAAUAAGCCCCGGCUAACUUCGUG